GCUGCACAAAUAUCAUCACAAAGUUUGGUUAUAUCGCAAGUGAUUACUUAUUAUUUACAUUACAGGAGGGCCUCUAGAUGUUGAGGGCUUUCCAUACAAGAGAGUCACAUGUUCUUCAUUGAAAACUUGUCUAAGAUCAACAGGAUAUUAAAGAAGACAGGAAAAUAUAAGACAGUAUUUGCCCUACAGCCAAACUGCACAUUGAGAUAUUCUGAUGCAUUACAGAUGUCCUCAUAAUAGCACCUAAGAGAAAAAAAAAAUAUUACCAUUCUGACACUGGGCACCAAAGAAUCCACGUGGACAGAGGCAAACAUCUGGCUUAGUACAGGAACCUCCAUUGAGACACACAGGAUCACAAAAUGCUGCAGAAGUAGUGUGAUGAAAAGAAUGGGAAGCCAUGACAAUCAAAUCAAAUCCAUAAAAUAUCUGCUUCUGUUGCAAGGACAGGAACUGAGCAUCUAAGACAGCUGCAGUUCUUUCCCAGAUUUGAACACUGGAAAUUAUAUACAAUUUCACUAGCUGAAGAGGAAUUGCUGAAGAGCUCAAUCCAGUCUCAAGGCUAUAACAAGCUAGCACCAGACUGUAAAGGUACAUAAAAGGUCUUUCCAUGUAA